GUGGGGAAUCUUCCGCAAUGGACGAAAGUCUGACGGAGCAACGCCGCGUGAGUGAUGAAGGUCUUCGGAUUGUAAAGCUCUGUUAAUCGGGACGAAAGAGCCUAGGGUGAAUAAUGCUAGGAAGUGACGGUACCGGAAUAGAAAGCCACGGCUAACUACGUGCCAGCAGCCGCGGUAAUACGUAGGUGGCAAGCGUUGUCCGGAAUUAUUGGGCGUAAAGCGCGCGCAGGCGGAGCUGCCAGUAUGUCUUAAAAGUUCGGGGCUUAACCCCGGGAUGGGAUGGAAACUACAGAUCUAGAGUAUCGGAGAGGAAAGUAGAAAUCCUAGUGUAGCGGUGAAAUGCGUAGAUAUUAGGAAGAACACCAGUGGCGAAGGCGACUUUCUGGACGAAAACUGACGCUGAGGCGCGAAAGCCAGGGGAGCGAACGGGAUUAGAAACCCUAGUAGUCC
rnacentral:rRNA from 1 species